GUGGCCGAACAUGGAGCCAUGGAAAGUUGAUCCGAAAAAAAUUAUUUCUUCUAGAUUUUCUACCAAUUGGAAGGUCCUUUACAACAUGGAGUGAUUGUUGGAGCAAACAAAACACUUGUUGUGCAAUUUGUGAGCCUAGCCGAGCAAGAAGAGAUAAAAGAAGAAAGACUAGCGAUAACGAGCUUGGACAAUUAAGCGUAGCUAAUAGGACGCGGAACAGGUACACUCAGAUGAGUAGAAGCUAUUAUAGAAGAUGUUCCAGCGGAGUUGGCAAGCUCCAUUUGCUCUGGAGUGUUGCCGGGUCAGAGCACUAUGCUAUGAUGUCUUGUUCGAAGUUAGAGACUUUGCAGACAGAGUCGUGGGUAUAGAGUGUCGGUAUUGUAAACGGCUCCACCAGCCGAUGUGUCAUCUUAUGUUAUGUUAUAAAGUCCAUUUGAUUUGAGUACGAGGGAAAAGAAAGAUUUUUGAAAGCUUACUAUGUAUUUCAUUCUUAUCCGAUUUAAGAGUCCAAAGAUAUUAUGCAUGUAAUAUGAUUCAGCGGGUUCGCUCGGCUCCGAAUAUGGGGUCGGGUACCCAUCACACCCUAGUAAGGUCGGGGUGUGACAGAUUAGUUUUAAAUUUCUUUUACUAUUAAAUUCACUAAAAUGUGGUUGAAUGUCGAAGAAAACAAUAGUA